UACUGUACCCUCCCAGCAGCCUCCAGCAGAACAUGCAGCAGCAGCGGUUAGCGCUGAUGCAACUAUCGUUGCUAUUGCCGCCGCCUCCCCACUAACGGGCCGUUCACCUGGGGGGUACUUGCAGUUUCCAGGGGCAACAAGCAUCUCUCUACCACCCUCUCCUGCGACCCUGAGAGAGGCUGGCUCCAAGCUUGAUAUAGAAGACUAUCAUAUGAACCAGAGAGGGUAACUGAAACCAAAGAAAUGACUCCAGUAUCAAGCUAAAGACACGCCUUAAAGGAUGAGGAGGAGCAGAAAUCUUACCAGCAAGGCAAGAAAGAAGCCAUACGUGAACAGCCUCUGCUUUAGGCCCAGAAGGAAAAGAAGCUUACAGGAGACAAUCAGUCUUACACUCUUCCAUGGUCACAAACAAAAGGUCCCUGGAUCUACAGUAUCUAGGCCCACAUGCAAUAUGACUUUGCAACUCAUCCCAUCAGAGGGUGGAAACUAUUUCUUCACCCCCUUGAACCUGGGCUGGCUUUGUAAUUUGUUUUGGCCAAUAGAAUGUCGUGGAAGUGAUGGUGUUACCAGAAAGAGUUCCCAAUCCAGACUCGUGUGAGAAAGAAUUUGAGAAAUGAAAGAACCAGAGCAUUAUAGCAAAAUGAAUCCUGGAAUGGGAAUGCAAUGCCUGGAUUUGUGGCACAGUUGUGAAGUGUCCUGGCCAUGCCAUGUUAAAGUUGUCUCCAAGGCAGUGAUUCUUACCCUUGGCUACACAUUGGAGUCAUUUGGGAAGCUAGAAAAAAAAAAAAAAGAAAAAGAAAAAAAUGCCCAGGACCUGGACAAGACAGCUGAAUAAGAACAGCUCUGGUCUGCAGCUCCCAGCAAGAUCAACGCAGAAGGGAAGCUGGCAGCCUGGGCUCUUGGAGAUUGUAUCUGGUGCUGGAGAGGACUGGCUCCCACACUCAGUGAGGAAGGAAUUUUACUGACCCAGCACCCAGAUGAACUUUGGUGAGAAGAGGAGAUGGAGUUUCGCUGUUGUUGCCCAGGCUGGAGUGCAAUGGCGUGAUUUCGGCUCAUGGCUACCUCUGCCUCCCAGGUUCAAGCAAUUCUCCUGCCUCAGCCUCCCAAGUAGCUGGGAUUACCGAUCAUGAACUGGCAGCCAUGUGGAAAGAAGACUAGACUGCGAAUCACUUAGGAUCCCGCCCUCGGUUUAGUCCAGAAUACUCUGCCAAUCAGCUUUUUGGCCGCAGGUAGGAAAGAGACAAAUGGAAACAAAAUAGCAAAAUGGUGAAGAGGAGGGUUCUAGAGGCAGACAGCCCUGCAGUCCUGAGUCCUGAGUCCACCAUUUAACAGAGUGACUUUGCUUAGCCUGUGGAUUAUAAUGAAACUUGCCUGUUAUAGGAUCCAGUUUUUUAGGUGGUAGCAACAUGCUCAAAGAAGAUGCAGCCCCUUCCUCCAGCCUGAGAGAAUAAAGCAUCACUGGCUUAUGCCAACCAUGGCAAUCCCAUUCCCCUUUUCUCAUGAUUGAUUUGGGAAUGGGCAAGUGACCCAGUCCUAACCAAUGAGACCAAAGAAAAAGUCUAUUGGUCAGCUUAUCUCAGAAGAUUUUUGUUUCCUGCUAUAAAGAGAAACAGUAAGUUCCUCCCUGCCUGACUUAAAUGCAAUUGUGUGCAAACAUGUUACUUGGAGCUACAGCAACGAUUCUGUGACCAUGAGGCAAUAAGCCGAGGACAAAGGAUAGAAUAGUGAAAAGACAGAGCACUGGACUUUUUUAAUGAUAUCAUUGAACUGCUGGACCAAUGUGGAACCAUCUACUUUUAGUCUUUCAUGAUUUGUGAGAUGAUUAAAAAUUUCAUUUUUUUAGCCAUUCUUUCUUUUCUGUUACUUGCAACUGAAGACAUCCUACAUAAUACAAACACUAUCCAACUUGGGUUGUAAUUUAUCUAUUUUCAGAUCUGUGUGUUCUGUCUUACUGAUUUUUGUAUUCUUAGCACUGAGUAUAAGCCUGCUACUUAGUAAGACUUCAAUAAAUGACUGUUUCAAAAGGUCUUAGAUGAUUUAAAAAAAAUUCUGAAGUUGCUGAAAUAUGAAGACCAGGAACCAAUUUCAGGUUCUAUAAAUUUCUUGCUUCCUUCACUUCUGGAGUAUUCUUCAUUUAUGUCUGAUUCUACCUUUACUAAAAUGAAUGAAUGAUUGAGGAAUAUGAAAAAUGGCUGGUAUAGUGGCUACUGCUGAGCAGUAUCUCUUGGAAAUUCCCAGAAAUUCCAUCAGCCACAUUCAGACCUAACUCUCUGAUGAUCAAUGUUUCUGAACUCAAACCAGUGUACAUAAUCAGUGGCCUAUUUAAAGUGGUAUUAGCCUAGAAUAUCUAGGACACAUGUUUUAUGCAUUCAGUAAGCAUUUGUUUAAUGUCUCUUAUCUACCAGGCACAUUAUUAUGCACUGGGCAUAUAGAGAUGACCAACCACAUGGCCUCAAUCCUUGAAAAGCUUACAGUAACCAAAUAGGGUUAACGGCCUAAAGAGAGGUCAUUACAAGUCUUACACCCAGUCCUCUUAGCAUAGUAUGGUGCUACCACUGAGUUAAUUAAAAUAACAAAAUUCCUAGAUAUAUAUCUUUGAUGAAAUGGUUUCCAUAAAAACUUUCCAAGCUUGGUCCCUCCCCAGCUGAGUUCAUUUUGGAAGGUGACUUUCUGCUCUCAUCACCUAAGGUCCUUAAUAUGUAUCCUGUGUUCUCCGGAGGCACCCCUUGCCCAGAGUGUGCCCUCUGCAUGGUUCCCCCAGAACACCUAUUUCAAAGGAAAAGAAGUUUGAUCAUUCAGUGAAGAUUUGGGGGCCACUUUUCUAUGUGGGAGGAUUAUGAGUAGUGCCUUGCUCCCCUAUGUAUUAGUAAAUAUAAAUAAAACAUAAAUUAACCCCCUUUCUGGCUGGGCACGGUGGCUCACGCCUGUAAUCCCAGCACUUUGGGAAUCCGAGGUGGGUGGAUCACUUGAGGUCAGCAGUUUGAGACCAGCCUGGCCAACAUGGCAAAACCCCAUCUCUACUAAAAUAUAAAAAUUAGCCAGAUGUGGUUGCACACAUCUCUAGUCCCAGUUACUCAGGAGGCUGAGGCACAAGAAUUGCUUGAGCCUGGGAGGCAAGUGUUGCAGUGAGCUGAGAUUGUGCCAUUGCACUCCAGCCUGGGUGACAGAGCAAGACUCUGUCUC
rnacentral:antisense_RNA from 1 species